rnacentral:rRNA from 1 species
CCUACGGGUGGCAGCAGUAGGGAAUAUUGCACAAUGGGGGAAACCCUGAAGCAGCAACGCCGCGUGGAGGAUGAAGGUUUUCGGAGUGUAAACUCCUGUUGGUAGAGAAGAGAAUGACGGUAUCUAACGAAUAAGCACCGGCUAACCCCGUGCCAGCCGCCGCGGUAAUACGGAGGGUGCAAGCGUUACUCGGAAUCACGGGGCGUAAAGAGGGCGUAGGCGGGAUGGCAAGGCAGAUGUGAAAUCCUAUGGCUUAACCAUAGAACUGCAUUUGAAACUGUUAUUCUAGAGUAUGGGAGAGGUAGGUGGAAUUCUUGGUGUAGGGGUGAAAUCCGUAGAGAUUAGGAGGAAUACUCAUUGCGAAGGCGGCCUGCUAGAACGUAACUGACGCUGAUGCACGAAAGCGUGGGGAGCAAACAGGAUUAGAUACCCGUGUAGUC